GACGAACGCUGGCGGCGUGCUUAACACAUGCAAGUCGAACGGAAAGGCCCUGCUCUUGCUGCGUGCUCGAGUGGCGAACGGGUGUGUAACACGUGAGUAACCUGCCCUUGACUUUGGGAUAACUUCAGGAAACUGGGGCUAAUACCGGAUAGGAGCUACUGCUGCACGGUGGUGGUUGGUAAGUUUCGGCGGUUCGGGCUGGACUCGCUGCUUAUCCGCUUGUUGGUGAGGUAGUGGCUUACCAAGGGUUCGACGGGUAGCCGGCCUGGGAGGUUGGCCGGCGACAUUGGGCCUGAGAGAGGGACCAGACUCCUACGGGAGGCAGCAGUGGGGAAUAUUGCAGAAUGGGCGGAAGCCUGAUGCAGCAACGCCGCGUGCGGGAUGACGGCCUUCGGGUUGUAAACCGCUUUCGCCUGAGACGAAGCGUGAGUGACGGUAAUGGGUAAGGAAGCACCGGCUAACUACGUG
rnacentral:rRNA from 1 species